AGAGCAUAUGGUGAAUGCCUUGGAAAAUGGAGCCGAAGAAGGACGUGACUACCUGCGAAAAGCAUCGGGGAGCUGGAAGUGAGCUUUGAUCCGGUGAUGUCCGAAUGGGGAAACCUAGUACGAUUUAUCUCGUAUUGUCUGCUAGUGAAUUCAUAGCUAGUUGAUGGGAACCUUGGGAACUGAAACAUCUUAGUACCAAGAGGAAAAGAAAAUAAAAAUGAUUCCCUUAGUAGCGGCGAGCGAACGGGGAAGAGGCCAAACCAAUUUUUGAAUUGGGGUUGUAGGACUUUUGUUAGAGUUACAAAAUUGUUUCAUAGUAGAACAGAUUGGGAAAUCUGAGCAUAGAGGGUGAUACUCCCGUAUACGAAAUGGAAUAAUCUCGAGGAAGUAUCCUGAGUACGGCGAAGCACGUGAAACUUUGUCGGAACCUGCCGAGACCACUCGGUAAGCCUAAAUACUACCAUUUUACCGAUAGUGAACCAGUACCGUGAGGGAAAGGUGAAAAGUACCCCGAGAGGGGAGUGAAAUAGUUCCUGAAACCGUAUGCUUACAAGAAGGUAGAGCCCGUUAAUGGGUGAUACCGUGCUUUUUGUAGAAAGAGCCGGAGAGUUAUUAUUGCAUGCAAGGUUAAGCAGACCACUGUGGAGCCGGAGUGAAAGCGAGCCUUAAUAGGGCGAUAGUAUGCAGUAAUAGACACGAAACCGGGUGAUCUAGCCAUGAGCAGGUUGAAGUUAGGGUAAAACCUAAUGGAGGACCGAACCAACGUUCGUUGAAAAGACCGUGGAUGACUUGUGGCUAGUGGUGAAAUUCCAAUCGAACCCGGAGAUAGCUAGUUCUCCCCGAUAUAGCUUUAAGGCUAGCGUCGUAUUUAUCUUUUUGGAGGUAGAGCACUGAAUUUAUGAUGGCUGCACCUAGCGGUACUGAAUAAAAUUAAACUCCGAAUGCCAAAGAGCCACUAUACGGCAGUCAGAACAUGGGUGAUAAGGUCCAUGCUCGUGAGGGAAACAGCCCAGAUCGUCAGCUAAGGUCCCCAAAUAUACGCUAAGUGUGUAAGGAUGUGGAAUCGCAUAAACAGCUAGGAUGUUGGCUCAGAAGCAGCCAUCAUUUAAAGAGUGCGUAACAGCUCACUAGUCGAGUGAUUCUGCGCCGAAAAUGUACCGGGGCUCAAGUGUAUUACCGAAGCUACGGAUUGAAUUAAUUCAAUGGUAGGGGAGCGUUCUAAGGAUGAUGAAGUCAGACCGGAAGGACUGGUGGAGUGCUUAGAAGUGAUUAUUCCGGCAUGAGUAACGUUUGAGAGUGAGAAUCUCUCAUGCUAUUUGAUUAAGGUUUCCUGGGCAAGGUUCGUCCACCCAGGGUUAGUCAGGACCUAAGGCGAGGCCGAACGGCGUAGUCGAUGGACAGCAGGCAGACAUUCCUGCACUGGUUAGUUAGUGAUGGAGUGACGGAGAAAGAUAGUAAAACCCAGUGAAUGGAUUCUGGGCUAAGCACAAAGAUGGUCUUGUUGGCAAAUCCGCAAGAUAUUAAACAUUGAAGUGUGAUGGGGAACGAACGGUACGCCUAGUAGUGAAGUUUAUGACUCUACGCUUCCAAGAAAAGCUUCUAACGUUAAUAACUAAUUACCUGUACCUAGAACGAACACACGUGAUCAAGGAGAAAAUCCUAAGGCAAGCGAGAAAACUGUAGCUAAGGAACUCUGCAAAAUGACUCCGUAACUUCGGAAGAAGGAGUGCUCAAUAAUUUAUUCUAUUGAGCCGCAGUAAAGAGGGAGGGGCAACUGUUUAACAAAAACACAGCUCUCUGCUAAGUCGUAAGACGACGUAUAGGGGGUGACGCCUGCCCAGUGCUGGAAGGUUAAAAGGAGAAGUCAACGUAAGUGAAGCUUUGAAUUGAAGCCCCAGUGAACGGCGGCCGUAACUAUAACGGUCCUAAGGUAGCGAAAUUCCUUGUCAGGUAAAUUCUGACCCGCACGAAAGGUGUAAUGAUCCCUUCGCUGUCUCGGCUACAGACUCGGUGAAAUUUUAGUACCAGUGAAGAUGCUGGUUACCCGCAACUAGACGGAAAGACCCCGUGGAGCUUUACUAUAACUUGAUAUUGAAAUUUGGUAUAACGUGUAGAGGAUAGGUGGGAGACAUCGAAGUAGGACCGCAAGGUUUUAUGGAGUCAUCCUUGGAAUACCACCCUCGUUAUCUUGAAUUUCUAACUUAGACCCAUUAGCUGGGUUGAGGACAAUGUCUGGUGGGUAGUUUGACUGGGGCGGUCGCCUCCCAAAAAGUAACGGAGGCGCCCAAAGGUAUUCUCAAUAUGGUUGGAAAUCAUAUGUAGAGCGCAAAGGUAGAAGAAUGCUUAACUGCGAGACUUACAAGUCGAACAGAUUCGAAAGAAGGGCUUAGUGAUCCGGCGGUCCCGUGUGGAAGGGCCGUCGCUCAACGGAUAAAAGUUACCCCGGGGAUAACAGGCUUAUCUCCCCCAAGAGUUCACAUCGACGGGGAGGUUUGGCACCUCGAUGUCGGCUCAUCGCAUCCUGGAGCUGAAGUUGGUUCCAAGGGUUGGGCUGUUCGCCCAUUAAAGCGGUACGUGAGCUGGGUUCAGAACGUCGUGAGACAGUUUGGUCCCUAUCUGUUGUGGGCGUAGGAAAAUUGAAGAGAGCUGACUCUAGUACGAGAGGACCGAGUUGGACGCAUCCCUGGUGCUCCAGUUGUCGUGCCAACGGCACAGCUGGGUAGCUAUAUGCGGAACGGAUAAUCGCUGAAGGCAUCUAAGCGAGAAGCCUCCUUUAAGAUGAGUUUU
rnacentral:rRNA from 1 species